rnacentral:rRNA from 1 species
UAUGUAGGGGGCUAGCGUUGUCCGGAUUUAUUGGGCGUAAAGAGCGUGUAGGCGGCCAGGUAGGUCCGUUGUGAAAACUCGAGGCUCAACCUCGAGACGCCGGCGGAAACCCUUUGGCUAGAGUCCGGAAGAGGAGAGUGGAAUUCCUGGUGUAGCGGUGAAAUGCGCAGAUAUCAGGAAGAACACCCGUGGCGAAGGCGGCUCUCUGGGACGGUACUGACGCUGAGGCGCGAAAGCGUGGGGAGCAAACAGG